AGAUUGAACGCUGGCGGCAUGCUUUACACAUGCAAGUCGAACGGUAACAGGCCGCAAGGUGCUGACGAGUGGCGAACGGGUGAGUAAUGUAUCGGAACGUGCCCAGUCGUGGGGGAUAACGCAGCGAAAGCUGCGCUAAUACCGCAUACGAUCUAUGGAUGAAAGCGGGGGACCGUAAGGCCUCGCGCGAUUGGAGCGGCCGAUAUCAGAUUAGGUAGUUGGUGGGGUAAAGGCUCACCAAGCCAACGAUCUGUAGCUGGUCUGAGAGGACGACUAGCCACACUGGGACUGAGACACGGCCCAGACUCCUACGGGAGCAGCAGUGGGAAUUUGGACAAGUGGCGCAAGCCUGACUCCAGCAAUCGCCCGCGGU
rnacentral:rRNA from 1 species